rnacentral:rRNA from 1 species
UAAGCGGAGGAAAAGAAACUAACAAGGAUUCCCCUAGUAACUGCGAGUGAAGCGGGAAAAGCUCAAAUUUAAAAUCUGGCGGUCUUUGGCCGUCCGAGUUGUAAUUUAGAGAAGCGUCUUCCGCGCCGGACCGUGCACAAGUCUCCUGGAAUGGAGCGUCAUAGAGGGUGAGAAUCCCGUCUUUGGCACGGAUGCCUGGUGCUUCUGUGAUGCGCUCUCGAAGAGUCGAGUUGUUUGGGAAUGCAGCUCAAAAUGGGUGGUGAACUCCAUCUAAAGCUAAAUAUUGGCGAGAGACCGAUAGCGAACAAGUACCGUGAGGGAAAGAUGAAAAGCACUUUGGAAAGAGAGUGAAACAGUACGUGAAAUUGUUGAAAGGGAAACGCUUGAAGUCAGUCGCGUCGACCGAGACUCAGCCUUGCCUCGGCUUGGUGUACUUCUCGGCCCGACGGGUCAGCGUCAAUUUUGCCCCUCGGAUAAUGGCAAGGGAAAGGUGGCACCUUUACGGGUGUGUUAUAGUCUCCUGUCGCAUGCGAGGGGUGGGAUUGAGGAACUCAGCGCGCACCUUGGUGUCGGGGCUUCGGCCCACGUCACGCGCUUAGGAUGCUGGCGUAAUGGCUUUAAACGA